GGGGCAGCAAUGUCACCGUCGCACGGGUGCGUAACGCGUAUGCAACCUACCUAUCACAGGGGGAUAGCCUUUGGAAACAGGGAUUAAUACCGCAUAAAGCAGGGGCUCCGCAUGGAGAUAUUGCUAAAGAUUUAUCGGUGAUAGAUGGGCAUGCGUCCGAUUAGUUAGAUGGUGGGGUAACGGCCUACCAUGGCGAUGAUCAGUAGGGGGCGUCAGAGCGUGGUCCCCCACACUGGCACUGAGAUACGGGCCAGACUCCUACGGGAGGCAGCAGUAGGGAAUAUUGGGCAAUGGAUGCAAGUCUGACCCAGCCAUGCCGCGUGAAGGAAGAAGGUCCUCUGGAUUGUAAACUUCUUUUGUCGGGGAAGAAGAGUCAUCUUGCGAGGUGAUGUGACGGUACCCGAUGAAUAAGCCACGGCUAACUACGUGCCAGCAGCCGCGGUAAUACGUAGGUGGCAAGCGUUGUCCGGAUUUAUUGGGUUUAAAGGGUGUGUAGGUGGUUUAAUAAGUCAGUGGUGAAAGCUGGUUGCUCAACAAUCAAGUUGCCAUUGAUACUGUUAGACUUGAGAGAAGUGGAGGCUGGUGGAAUGGAUGGUGUAGCGGUGAAAUGCAUAGAUAUCAUCCAGAACGUCAAUUGCGAAGGCAGCUGGCUGUACUUUUUCUGACACUGAGGCACGAAAGUGUGGGGAUCAAACAGGAUUAGAUACCCUGGUAGUCCACACUGUAAACGAUGCGAACUAGCUUUUUGGCAGUAAUGUUGAGAGGCUAAGGGAAACCGAUAAGUUCGCCACCUGGGGAGUACGC
rnacentral:rRNA from 1 species